AGCUGAUCACUGGGUGUAAAGCGUGCGCAGGCGGUUUUGUAAGACAGAGGUGAAAUCCCCGGGCUCAACCUGGGAACUGCCUUUGUGACUGCAAGGCUGGAGUGCGGCAGAGGGGGAUGGAAUUCCGCGUGUAGCAGUGAAAUGCGUGGAUAUGCGGAGGAACACCGAUGGCGAAGGCAAUCCCCUGGGCCUGCACUGACGCUCAUGCACGAAAGCGUGGGGAGCAAACA
rnacentral:rRNA from 1 species